UACGUAGGGGGCAAGCGUUGUCCGGAAUUACUGGGCGUAAAGCGCGUGUAGGCGGUUGAUCAAGUCUGAUGUGAAAGCCCUGGGCUCAACCCAGGAAGUGCGUCAGAUACUGGUCAACUGGAGUAACGGAGAGGAUGGCGGAAUACCCGGUGUAGAGGUGAAAUUCGUAGAUAUCGGGUGGAACACCUGUGGCGAAGGCGGCCAUCUGGACGUUCACUGACGCUGAGACGCGAAAGCAUGGGGAGCAAACAGG
rnacentral:rRNA from 1 species